rnacentral:rRNA from 1 species
GACGAACGCUGGCGGCGUGCCUAACACAUGCAAGUCGAACGGGACCGGGGGCAACUCCGGUUCAGUGGCGGACGGGUGCGUAACACGUGAGGAACAUGACCUUCGGCGGGGGAUAGCCGGCCCAACGGCCGGGUAAGUACCGCGUACGACCUUUCGGGGACAUCCUCGGAUGGUGAAAGCAGCAAUGCGCCGAUGGAGUGCCUCGCGGCCUAUCAGCUAGUUGGUGGGGUAAAGCCUACCAAGGCAUCGAUCAGUAGCUGGUCUGAGAGGACGACCAGCCACACUGGGACUGAGACACGGCCCAGACUCCUACGGGAGGCAGCAGUGGGAAUUUGGACAAUGGGCGCAAGCCUGAUCCAGCAAUGCCGCGUGAGUGAAGAA